AGCAACGAUCAAACCACGUUGAAAGCACUGGUUCUCGUCUGAUCACCGCAGUUAAGCAACGUUGGGCGCGGUUAGUACUUAGAUGGGUGACCGCUUGGGAACACCGUGUAUUGUUGUUC